rnacentral:rRNA from 1 species
GAUGAACGCUGGCGGCGUGCCUAAUACAUGCAAGUCGAGCGAACAGACGAGGAGCUUGCUCCUCUGACGUUAGCGGCGGACGGGUGAGUAACACGUGGAUAACCUACCUAUAAGACUUGGAUAACUUCGGGAAACCGGAGCUAAUACCGGAUAAUAUAUUGAACCUCAUGGUUCAAUAGUGAAAGACGGUUUUGCUGUCACUUAUAGAUGGAUCCGCGCCGCAUUAGCUAGUUGGUAAGGUAACGGCUUACAGAGGCAACGAUGCGUAGCCGACCUGAGCGGGUGAUCGGCCACACUGGAACUGAGCCACGGUCCAGACUCCUACGGGAGGCAGCAGUAGGGAAUCUUCCGAAAUGGGCGAAAGCCUGACGGAGCAGCGCCGCGUGAGUGAUGAAGGUCUUCGGAUCGUAAAACUCUGUUAUUAGGGAAGACCAAAUGUGUAAGUAACUAUGCACGUCUUGACGGUACCUAAUCAGAAAGCCACGGCUAACUACGUG